UUUCUUCUGACUCUGGUGUGUCUUUGUUCAUAUUUUUCCCCUUCAAAAAAAAGUGUAGCAAGUUUUCAGUUUUCCCUUCAUAUAAGUUAAAAACAACAACAACAAAACUGGUAUCUGAUUACUGAGUACAAACUUCCAGCUGUUGCCAUUUUAAAGAUGUCAGCUUAUCACAAUGUGGGUGUGAAUAGGCAGCAUUUUCCAUGCUGUCUCUAAUUAAGCAUAUGUAUAUAUAAGCAGAGAGAAUCAAGGGCUUCUUUGCUGGUGUCGAUAGGCUGGCUCAUUGUAAAGGCAGAAUUAAGAAGAGAUCGAGAGGGAGACAGCUGAGUCCUCAUUAUAAUGGAACAGAGAGGCAAUGAAGGACUGGUGUUCCUGAGCAAUUUUUCCUUUGUCUCUGCAAUCGUCCUCCCUAAUUUUGUGUGGGAAAGAAUUUGUCUUCCAGAUACCUGGAUCUAGAUGUGUAUUAGAGCCAGCUUAAAAGAGUUCAUGAGAGCUGAACUGUUAAAUUUCCAGUGUGAACAUUUGUCGUGAGUCUUUUCAAUCAUUUUUGGGUUUUCUUGGCAAAGAUAUUGGAGAGGCAUACUAUUAUUUCCUCCUGCAGCUUAUUUUAUAUAUGAGGAAUUGAAGCUAAUUGAGUUAAGGGACUUGCCGAGGGUUAUACAACCAUCAUGUCUCUGAAGCCAAAUUUGAACUCGGGAAAGUGUUUUUUCUUCACUUCCAACCUAGUGCUCUAUCAAGUGUACCAUAUAGCUGCCCUAAUGUGAGCAUUUAUAGGGAAUGAACAAGUACUAUAAAUAAGGUCUUGACUUAGUUAUAUUCAUUGUCUAGACUUUUUUUUAAAAAAAUGAAAAAUGUUAAUGCAGAUUAAACUUAAAAAGUAUGUUAAAACUUAAAUUUAUAUGGCAAAAAUUAUCUUCCUUGAGUUCAAAAAUACCUCUAUUAUCUAACUCUAUAAAAGAAAAACAGGUUUUCCUGUGAUAAUCAAAAGGAGGAAUUUCUCUUAUUCAUUACUGUCAAGAUUCUUGUCAGAGUCCUUAAGAAGUUGAUCUUUUACCUGAAAGAUGGCUUCAGAAAGGGUCAAGGAAUGGUUGAUAUGGUGGUUUGCUGCCUGGCAACUCCAGGAGAAAUGCAAGAAAUUCUUUGUGAAACUUGAGAAGCAUAUCAGCAUCAUGCUAGGAAAUGGAAUCAUUUUCAUGUGAAUUGUUUUGGGAAGAUUCUAAAGCUCACCUGGCAAGAUAAGGUACCUAAUCACUCAAACUCUACUGCACUGAGCAAACUCCAAUGAGCAAGACAUAUUGUUUGAAGGUCAAAAGAAUAUUUGCCUAUAAGCCUAUUUUACAGACAACUCACACAAAGCAAGCACUCAUAUGGAAGUCAGAAGAAGGGAUAUAUGAACAUUUUCAAGGUCUCCCUGAAGAACUUUGUAAUCAAUUUUCUUUUAUGGGAGACAGGACCAUCCAGAAGAUGGGCCUGUGCCAAAGGAGACACUGUACUCUAGGAGAAAAUUAGAAUUGCAGUAACUCAAAAAAAGAUGAGAUGAGCAAAUUUAGAGACAUCUUCAUUACUAUUUAUGCUUUACUUGUGGUAGAGCCCGUACCUUGACCCCAAGAAAGUGAUGUCAUUUUGAUCCUCUUCAAGAAUAAAGGACAACAACCAUCUGUUAGAGGCAGAAUUUGAACCUUUGUUUCACAUUGUCUCCAAAUAUUUUAUUCAUCUUUGUACUCCCAUAGUAUCUAACAGAGUGCCUUAGAUAUAACUGACAUUCUCAAUUUGUUAAAUUAAAUUUAUGGUAUUUCCAGUGAAAACAAAUAAAGUUUGUUUUUCUAGCACUGA